UGGGGAAUAUUGCACAAUGGGCGCAAGCCUGAUGCAGCCAUGCCGCGUGUAUGAAGAAGGCCUUCGGGUUGUAAAGUACUUUCAGUCGGGAGGAAGGUGGUAAGGUUAAUAACCUUGGCAAUUGACGUUACCGACAGAAGAAGCACCGGCUAACUCCGUGCCAGCAGCCGCGGUAAUACGGAGGGUGCAAGCGUUAAUCGGAAUUACUGGGCGUAAAGCGCACGCAGGCGGUUGAUUGAGUCAGAUGUGAAAUCCCCGGGCUUAACCCGGGAAUUGCAUCUGAUACUGGUCAGCUAGAGUCUUGUAGAGGGGGGUAGAAUUCCAUGUGUAGAGGUGAAAUGCGUAGAGAUGUGGAGGAAUACCGGUGGCGAAGGCGGCCCCCUGGACAAAGACUGACGCUCAGGUGCGAAAGCGUGGGGAGCAAACAGG
rnacentral:rRNA from 1 species